rnacentral:snRNA from 1 species
AUCACUUCUUGGCCUUUUGGCUAAGAUCAAGUGUAGAAAGCCAGAUUUUAGAUGCAAUAAUCUUUAUAAGUAUUUUUAAACCCCUAUUAACACCCUCC